GACGAACGCUGGCGGCGUGCUUAACACAUGCAAGUCGAACGGUGAACUCGAGAGCUUGCUCUUGGGGGAUCAGUGGCGAACGGGUGAGUAACACGUGAGUAACCUGCCCCAGACUCUGGA
rnacentral:rRNA from 1 species